rnacentral:rRNA from 1 species
AUUGAACGCUGGCGGCAGGCCUAACACAUGCAAGUCGAACGGUAACAGGAAGCAGCUUGCUGCUUCGCUGACGAGUGGCGGACGGGUGAGUAAUGUCUGGGAAACUGCCCGAUGGAGGGGGAUAACUACUGGAAACGGUAGCUAAUACCGCAUAACGUCGCAAGACCAAAGAGGGGGACCUUCGGGCCUCUUGCCAUCUGAUGUGCCCAGAUGGGAUUAGCUUGUUGGUGAGGUAACGGCUCACCAAGGCGACGAUCCCUAGCUGGUCUGAGAGGAGGACCAGCCACACUGGAACUGAGACACGGGCCAGACUCCUACGGGAGGCAGCAGUGGGGAAUAUUGCACAAUGGGCGCAAGCCUGAUGCAGCCAUGCCGCGUGUAUGAAGAAGGCCUUCGGGUUGUAAAGUACUUUCAGCGGGGAGGAAGGUGUUGUGGUUAAUAACCGCAGCAAUUGACGUUACCCGCAGAAGAAGCACCGGCUAACUCCGUGCCAGCCGCCGCGGUAAUAC